CCCAUAGAUUCUAUUUUAUCAGGUAGUAGGAUAUAUUAUUAUCUCUAUCAUCAAUAUCAUUAAAAUUUUUUUCAAUGGAUUAAAAUAAUUUCAACUUAUCCAAUAAGAAUUAUUGACCAUCAAAAUAAUUUUGAUAAGUCCUACAAUCUGUCAGUGAUGUCUAGCAGCAUGUAGUGACAUUUUAAUAGAAUGGAAUGGAUGAACCUCUAGGUGCGAUUAUCACA
rnacentral:lncRNA from 1 species